ensembl:lncRNA
UGGCACAUGGGAUUAAUUCCCUGACCAGGAUUUGAACCUGCCUCUGCUGCAUUGAAAGCAUGGAGUCUUAACCACUGGACCAUGAGGGAAGUCCCCCUGAUGAUCUUUGUAAUUGAUGGGACAAGGCUCACCAAGAGAAGAAGGAGGUGCUGCUGGUGGUGGCAGCGAAGGUAAUAGACACAGAUGGACUCCGUCUAGACGGCCUGCGGACGUGCCUGACCACUCCACCCUUGGGAAACCCUGCA